rnacentral:rRNA from 1 species
UACGUAGGGUGCGAGCGUUUAAUCGGAAUUACUGGGCGUAAAGCGUGCGCAGGCGGUCUGUUAAGACCGAUGUGAAAUCCCCGGGCUUAACCUGGGAACUGCAUUGGUGACUGGCAGGCUUUGAGUGUGGCAGAGGGAGGUAGAAUUCCACGUGUAGCAGUGAAAUGCGCAGAUAUCAGGAGGAACACCGAUGGCGAAGGCAGGUCUCUGGGCUGACACUGACGCUCAUGCACGAAAGCGUGGGGAGCAAACAGG